GGUUCAAUUCGACGCAACGCGAAGAACCUUACCUGGGCUCGAACGGCUCACGAAAGUUCGUGGAAACACGGAUUUCCCGCAAGGGACGGGAGUCGAGGUGCUGCAUGGCUGUCGUCAGCUCGUGUCGUGAGAUGUUGGGUUAAGUCCCGCAACGAGCGCAACCCUCGUCCUGUGUUGCUAACCGAAAGGUGCACUCUCAGGAGACUGCCGGCGAUAAGCUGGA
rnacentral:rRNA from 1 species